AUGGCAAAAGCACCCAUGGACACGCUUCAACUCUCCUGCAUCCAGAUAGCCAUAGCCUUUCUCUUGUUCACUCAUGCCAAUAGCACCAGAGAGGACACAUCUCCCCUGCAUCCAAACAAUACGGUCACUAGCUGUAUUGCUGGUGAGAGGUCUGCCCUUCUCGCCUUCAGGGCAGGUCUAUCAGACCCUGCCAACCUCCUUUCAUCAUGGAAGGGUGCUGACUGUUGCAGAUGGAAGGGCGUGUAUUGCCGCAACAGAACCGGCCAUGUUGUCAGGCUGGAUCUGCAAGGCACUUAUUGCAACGGUGAUUGGAUGAGAUACGAAUAUAUGGUAUCAGGCAGAAUAAGCUCCUCAUUACUUGGUUUACAGCAUCUACAAUAUCUCGAUCUCACACUACCAGAAAAACUUGUUUUGCCG
rnacentral:rRNA from 1 species